rnacentral:lncRNA from 1 species
UUUAAAAUUUGAGAUUUUAAAUUUAAAAUUUUAAUUUCAAAAUUUGAAAUUUCAAAGUUAGAAUUUUAAAUUUAAAAAUAUAAAUUUAAAAAUUUAAAAAUUCAAAUUCUAAUAUAAUAAGCGGGUAAUAUAAUUAUUUUUUAUUUAUAAAAACCUAUUAUCCUUCUUAUUCUAUCUUACCUAACCGAACGCUAUUUUUUUUAUUCCUAGAAGUAACCUAAUUUUCAUCCAAACGCAAAACUGAUCUAAUCCCUGUUUAUACCUCAAUUUAUACCUAUCCCUGGAAUAGUCACUUUUUGCUUAUCCUCGAACCAAACGAUACCUUAGAGUUCAAAUCCGACUACCCCUAAUACAUAUACUUAGGGCUUAGUUAGACCUCCAUUCUAGCACAUAUAACUAGAGUGAAACUCGGUUAAUCCUGAUACAUAUACUCAGGAAUUAGCCACUCUCUACUUUCGGGUAAUUCGACCCACCUCAAUACAUAUACUUGAGGUCUGGUCACAUCUCCAUCUUAGAACAUAUAACCAAGGUGGACAUAAUCGGACUCUAAGACAUAUACUUAGAGCCAAUUAGACUCUAAUACAUAGAGUCUAAGAUCGACUAGGUCUUAACACAUAUACUUAGGAUCUAGUCAAUUUCAAAUCCAACUGAAUCCUAAUACAUAUACUUAGGAUUCAAUAAAUCAAAACUUCUAUUGACCACCAAGUUGCUAAAUUGAGUAUCUAGUCUUAUAAAAUUUAUGUACAGUGGGAGUAUGCCCCUGCUUAAGCCAUGUAAACGGCAAAUCAUAUCAAUAAAAUUUUAUUUGCCUGUUUUGUCUCUUUUAUUAUCAGCAUUUAUAUUUGGUCUCUUAAUCGAGGGUUCCUUAACACCGAAAGUGUGGGGUAAUAACAACAUAUUCUUGAGUCUGUUGGAAGCCAUGAACCUAUAAUCCUGAUUUCAAAAUAAAACAUAAACAAAUUUUAUCUCUACCAUGAAUGACCNCCUGUUUUGUCUCUUUUAUUAUCAGCAUUUAUAUUUGGUCUCUUAAUCGAGGGUUCCUUAACACCGAAAGUGUGGGGUAAUAACAACAUAUUCUUGAGUCUGUUGGAAGCCAUGAACCUAUAAUCCUGAUUUCAAAAUAAAACAUAAACAAAUUUUAUCUCUACCAUGAAUGACCACUCGCCCUAGAAACACCCUACGGCGGGGCCGGUUCGUUCGUGGCAGACACUCAUAUUAUAGUGGACAUAAACUAGCUUCUCUAAUUGAGCGUACACUAAUCCGUUACGCAUUUCGAUAUGUAUCAGU